GUGGGUAUAAGGAAUCUACUUUAUUCAACACACUAACCUAAUUUCCGAGACAUGUUACAUACCUGAAACAAUAUGUCUUAGAAAUUAGAAUUUUUCUUGGUUUGUGUGCUGAACAAAGUAGAUUCCUUGUACCCA
rnacentral:pre_miRNA from 1 species